ACUGACAAGCUAGCCGCCCCACCACUUCACCCCACCCCCACCCGUUACAAAACCCAUACACCCUA
rnacentral:rRNA from 1 species